rnacentral:lncRNA from 1 species
UUCAUAAGUUUAAUCAAGAAAUUCUCGACUUCAAGGAGAUGAGACGUUCGGUGCAUAAGAAGGGAACGCUGGGAGAUUAAAUGAGAUGGAAAGAAAAUGGAACUAAUAAACAAGAAUUUAUUUUAUAAUUUUUUUUUUUCGCGCAAAUUCAAUUUGAGGUAUAAGUGCCCCGAUAAGUUAAAUAAUUAGAUGCAAUUUAUGAAGUGUCCCAAUAUCCUUUAUUUGGG